UCACAACAAACCCCGCCCUCCAAAGAAAAUGAACACAACAUAUCAUGUUGCAAAGCUUUUUUGCAUCCUACAAAGAAAGCAGCUCCACCUUCGUCACUCAUCCACCCUAAGAGAACCAUAGACGUGCAGCAAGCAUGUAGCAAAUGAAAAGAGCCUGAACUCAUCGAAAACCCGAAGCUUACAAUAAGUAGUAAAUGUCUCAAUAUGCAU
rnacentral:lncRNA from 1 species